rnacentral:rRNA from 1 species
UACGUAGGGACCGAGCGUUGUCCGGAAUCAUUGGGCGUAAAGAGCGUGUAGGCGGCUAUUUAAGUCCUGCGUGAAAUCCUGCGGCUCAACCGCAGACGGUCGUGGGAAACUGGAUGGCUAGAGUGCGGGAGAGGAGAGUGGAAUUCCCGGUGUAGCGGUGAAAUGCGUAGAGAUCGGGAGGAACAUCAGUGGCGAAGGCGGCCAUCUGGGACAACACUGACGCUGAAGCACGAAAGCGUGGGGAGCAAACAGG